UGCACAUGAACGACAUAUGGUGUUGCA
rnacentral:piRNA from 1 species